CUGGCAGGCUUACAGUUCAUGGGGUCACAAAGAGCUGGACACGACUGAGCGACUAACAAACACUAACAUAUAACGUGUCCACCAGCCUCCAGGGCCAAAGAAAGAAGGAACCGCUUUCUGCCCAUCCUGAGCCACUCGGCCGCACUGUUGACUGUACACAUGAUGAACCCAGAUGUCCUGAGUCCUCCUGCCUCGGUCUGACCUCCAAACCUUUACACGCGCCAGGCCCUCCUCCGCCCUAACCCUUUCCCACGCGCCGCCGUCACACUGUCAGAAACAGGGCCCCACCCACGGCCGCCCCGCCGCCCCAGAGGCUGGGCCUGCGCUGCAGGCGCGUGAGCGGCGCCGGGCCCCGCGGGCUCUGGAGUCUGGCGGAGCGUUUACCUGCGGCGGUCCCACUGCGUGGCCAGCCACUGCGCGCUGGGCACGGGGGUCCGUAUUCUGGCCUGGUCCGGUUGCCUCCAGUGGUGUCGCCAGCCUCGGUCCUGUCUUUGUGGCGCGGAAAGGAGAGAGGCCCCUCCACUGGAGCUUUCUCAGACUCAUCGCCCCGGCCUGAACCGGCACCUCGUGAGAACAGACCCAGCGAGGGUAAAAUGGCCGCCCUUUACGCGGGAGGCUAGAAGUCCCUGGUGGACAGAUCUGGAGUCGAUUUAUUAUGUGUCAAGGAUUUCAGCUUACUUCUCCGUCUUCUUAAAAGAUGCUGUAAUUGACUCAAAUAUGGUGAUGAAAGUAGUAAGUAAAGCACUUUCCUGACUUCUGUGAGUCAUUCUAGCAAAUUAUUGAACAAAAGAGGGGGUGGUGGGAAGCCCUGAUUUAUAGAAGAUUUGACAUUCAGGCCACCACUUGGGACUUGUGAUUGGCAUCUGAAGUGGGAGCAGUUGUGUGGAUGGAGCCCCUUAACCUGUGGGGGUCUGUGCUAACUCCAGAUAGUGCCAGAAGUAAAUUAAACUCUAGGACAUCUAUUUGGUGUCCCAAAAGAACUGGAGAAUUGCUUCGUGUGGAAAAGCCACUCAUUUGUAGUCAGAAGCUGUCUUGUCUGUUCAGGCUGCUAUAACAAAAUACCACAGACUGGCUAACUUAUAAAUAACAGAAAUUUAUUUCUCGGAGUUUGAGGUCUGGAAGUCCUGAGGCCCUGACACUGACAGAUUUGGUGGUUGAUGUAGGCUCUCUUCCAGGCUGCAGACUGCUGUGUCCUCCUCACAUGGUGAGGAGAGACCUAGGGAUCUAACUCCUUAUAUGAGGAGAGCUGAAGUUCUCUUUGCUUGAUGGUCCUCAACAUCAGUGACUCAUGUUUCUGCAUAUGGGUUUUCUAAACCACAUAAAAUUCUGCAUGAGUCCCAGCAUCUGUGGAUAGGAGCAGGGGUUCUUACUGUGCCCAUCCUAUGCUUUUCCUUCAAAAAUAUUACAAACACUCCUAUAAAAAAAAUACUGAUUCCUCGCUGGGCAUGAUACUUGCUGACAUAGAAAUUCAGCAUUUGCAUUAUGUGUAAGGAAUUUGGUGGGCAAGUUUUAUAUACUAUUGAAUAUCAAGGAAGUUCUGGAAUUUUACAUGAAGCAGGAUCUUAUGAUUUUUGCCCUAUGUUUUCACUUCAGGACCAUGUCUCUCUCCAAUAAUUUAAGACAUUAGAUGUAGAUAGAAGCUUAACCUAAAGCUUUUAAUGAAAGUCACACUUUGUCACAUUCUUAUAUUUUCUACCUUACAUUAAAAAGGCAUGUAAAUUAGCUCUGAAAGAAGGGUGCAUGGAAAUGCCUUUGCUGUCUUUGACCUAAAGCCUCUGAAAUGAUUGAUGCUUCAAUACAGUGAGAAUUCAUAGCCUUGAUUUUAUUUGUCACAAUUGAAGUCACAGUUGUGACAAUUGAAGUCACAUGAUCAUUUCAGAAUUAUUCAUAUUUCUAGUAUACAGAUUAUAUGAUAUUUAUAGUUCUAAUUUAAUAGCAAACACACAGUUUCCACACUGCAAAUGGCUAUUAAAAUCACGAGAAUCAUAGAAAUUAGGUUUAUUUGGGCUUCAGCAGCUGCCUGAAUUCCACAAGAUAAAUGCCAGAUUAUUUUUUUAUUGCCAGACCCCAUACUUAGGGGAACCAUGAAAAUCUUGGAAUUUCCUAAAUAGCUGUCAGAAAGAUACAGUUCAAUUUAGACUCUAAAAAAUGCAUUAUUAUGCAGUUUCCUCUUUCCCAUCCCCAAACACUGCCCUGCCUUCCUUUCCCUCCAACCCCUAGUAUUCCUGCCGUGAUGCUCAGAUUUUAUUGGUUUCAUAUUUGACAUAACAUUCUGAAAAUAAUAUGACUAACUUCAUCAUUAAAAGUCAUAGCUGAAUUUUAUCAUCUUAAUAGUGUUUUAUUACCUGGGCUAGAUUCUUUUGGGGGCUACACUGAUGGCUCAGCUGGUAAAGAAUCCGUCUCCAAUACGAGAGACCUGGGUUCAAGUCCUGGGUUGGGAAGAGCCCCUGGAAAAGGGAAAGGCUACCCACUCCAGUAUUCUGGCCUGAAGAAUUCCAUGGACUAUAUAGUCCAUGAGGUCUCAAAGAGUCGGACAUGGCUGAGAGAUUCUUAAGGAGGAAUUUCAAGCUGCAUCUGUGAGUAAAUAUUUAUGAAUCACUUGUUAUGAGUUCAAAACUGUCCUUAGAUCGGUAGGCAUACAAUAAACUCUCAAUCAUUGUUUCUGCCUUCAGAGGGCUGAUAAGUGGUUCAUGUAGAUGAACAACUUAGAAGAAAGAUUUAGAAACAACUCCUAGAAGAUUACUGUGGAUAGAUGAGCUUUGAGUGAUAGUGCUUCUUACUGCUUUAGUACAUUGACAAGAGGCCUAUAGACCAAGGAAUUAGAGAUACACUGAUGGCUACUAGUGAGUUGUGGACGUCAAAUGAGACAGGUGUUCUGGAAUUGAGUUCAUGGUGCAGAC
ensembl:lncRNA